GACGAACGCUGGCGGCGUGCUUAACACAUGCAAGUCGAACGAUGAUCAGGAGCUUGCUCCUGUGAUUAGAGGCGAACGGGAGAGUAACACGUGAGUAACCUGCCCCUGACUCUGGGGUAAGCGUUGGAAACGACGCCUAUUACUGGAUAUGAUAACUGGCCUCAUGGUCUGGUGGUGGAAAGAUUUUUUGGUUGGGGAUGGACUCGCGGCCUAUCAGCUUGUUGGUGAGGUAAUGGCUCACCAAGGCGACGACGGGUAGCCGGCCUGAGAGGGUGACCGGCCACACUGGGACUGAGACACGGCCCAGACUCCUACGGGAGGCAGCAGUGGGGAAUAUUGCACAAUGGGCGAAAGCCUUAUGCAGCAACGCCGCGUGGGGGAUGACGGCCUUCGGGUUGUAAACCUCUUUUAGUAGGGAAGAAGCGAAAGUGACGGUACCUGCAGAAAAAGCACCGGCUAACUACGUG
rnacentral:rRNA from 1 species